rnacentral:misc_RNA from 1 species
GUGAAUCAUCGAAUUUUUGAACGCAAAUUGCACUUUCUGGUAUUCCGGAAAGUAUGCCUGUUUGAGGGUCAGUUAAAUAAAAAUCGGUGUUGUUGCUGCUUUUCGUGGUGACGCGUCGGAUUUAGUUUUCUUUACCUUGGUUUAGUGUACUUAAAAUUUUGAAUGUUUUUGGAAGUAUUUUAAAUUUUUUAGUAAGUUUGAGAUUUUG